UAGCUACUCCCUUCGUCCGGAAAUACUUAUCGAAGGAAUGGAUGUAUUUAGAUGUAUUUUAGUUCUAGAUAUAUCCGUUUUAUGCAUUCCUUCGACAAGUAUUUCCAGACAAAGAAAGUACAUG
rfam:Triticum aestivum genome assembly, contig: Triticum_aestivum_CS42_TGACv1_scaffold_224932_3B